GCCAGGCAUGGUGGCACAUGCCUGUAAUCCCAGUGCUCAGGAGGCUGAGGCAGGAGCAUCACAAGUUCAAAGUCAGCUUCAGCAUCUUAGUGAGGCCUUAAUAAACUCAGUGAGAAUCUGUCUCUA
rnacentral:sRNA from 1 species